rnacentral:misc_RNA from 1 species
GUGAAUCAUCAAAUUUUUGAACGCAAAUUGCACUCCCUGGUAUUCCGGAGAGUAUGCCUGUUUGAGGGUCAGUUUAAAUAAAAAUCGGGGUGGUUGCUGCCUUUCAUGGUGACGCACCGGAGUUGGGUGGUCCUGCCUUCGGUUAAGUGACCUAGAAUUGUGCAUGAUUUUUUUCGUACGUACUUAAA